UUUGAAGAUAAAGUGUAGUUUUAAUAGGCUGGGAAAGGCAAUAAUGCUGUUUUCUAAGUGCUGUAAAGCAUUUAUGAAUGUUUUAACCAUUUAUUUAUCUAAAAUAUGUGUACAGAUUGCUGUGUAGGACACUGUAUACUUCUUCUGUAUGAAAUGUCCUUUAGGUUCACAUACAUAUAUUUGUAAAUGUAAUUUAAGUCGAACAAAAAUGGAAUACCAGUUGCAUCAGCUGUUGGAGAAGUCAACAGUGCACAUUCUACACUGUAUUAAAUUUAUUUUACAGUUUUUUAUUUUUAUUUUUUUUAUUUAUUUUUUUUUUACACAUAUAAAAGUAGAUGCACAGUACACUUGUAAUUAUGUGACUGUUUGUGUGUGAAAUAAAUAUCACCAGAUUAGCCCAUGGAGAGGAGAGGAACGAUUAAAAUUAGGACCGAGUGAGGAAAAAGAAAACACAAGGAAGGGAGAAGGAGUAUAGAGAUAAAGAUAGAGGUAGCAAAGACAGAUGGUGGAUUACGACUUAGAUACAAACUGUAUACAUACACACAUAGAUACAGUAUAUAAACCUUACCAGUAGAGUUUUUUUUUAGACUGAUAGUGUUCUUCAGUAAUCGGAUGUAUUUAUUGAUAGACAUGCCCUGGAUAAAUGCUGUUAAUGUAAAUGAGAUUAUUAAUAUUUUUUACUGAUUUAUUCCAGUGAUUACAUAAUUGUGUUUCAAUGAUUUCUUCCAUGUAGACAACACCCUUGGGUGCACAUACAGAGGUUUGAGGUCAGGGGGCUGAGCCUCCAAAUGUCAAACCCUCAGUAACGCCCCUCGUGCUCAGUUUGACUAUAAGACAGUUUGUUGAAAGUAUAUGCUCAUGCACAGAGCUGGGGUUUAAGAUGGUGAUGCUGAUGUGGAUAACAGCGCUGCUUUUUAGUCAUACAGAUUUUGCACAAAUGAACAUCGUCAAUCAGCCAAACCCAGUGAUCACUGCAGCUUCUGGAGAUAACGUGACUCUACAUUGCCUUUGAGUGGAAGAAGGAGACACUGAAACCAUCACUUGGUACAAACAAGCAGUAGGACACGAGCCUCGUGCAAUGGUCACAGUUUAUAAACUAGCACGGAAUCCCAUUUUUGAAGAUCAGUUCAACUCGCCAAGGUUUUCUGUUGAGAAUUUAAAAGAAGGCUGCAUUUUGAAAAUAAAUAACGUGGAACCAUCAGACGAAGCCGUGUAUUACUGUGGAUUAAAAAAGAUUAUAAUAUUGUUUGGAAAAGGAACAUUUUUAUCAGUAAAAGGUGAGAAUUUUCCAAUAACCAUCACGUUCAUUACUCGCUAUCAUGUUAUUUUUUUUCUUAGCACUGUAAUGAUACUAUUGCGCUGUGGCCGUGUGUGGGAAGAUCAUUUUUGGGAAUGGGACACGAGUACAACUGAAAGAAUCUGUGGAUCCUGUAGUGAUCUGCCUCGCUGUAGCAUUAGGAGUGUGUGUGGUUGUGAUCUUUGCUCAUGUCGUAAGCUCUAAAGGGAGAAACUGUGAACGUUGUCAUGGUGAGUCUUUAUUAAGGUUGUGUAUCUGAAUAGUAUAUCAUAUACUGUAUACGUACACUUAUAUAAUAUGUAUUAAAUCCUGAUGGAAUCAUAUAUUUUUCCUCUACAGUGAGAUCUCAUCACGGUUCUACAGUAGAGAAAACACUCAAUCAGGUAAAUGACUUUAAAAUGUAAUUAAAACAUUAUUAUUAGACUCAGUGCUAUCAGGGAUCACAAUGAAAAAUAUUACACUAAUAGUGAUUUAAUUCUGAUAGCUGUAAUUUACAGUGAACGCUUUAUGUUAUUUCCCACAGGGCCGUUCUGCUCUCGAGGUCAAUUUCUCUGCUUUACAUUUCAAAGAGAGGAAAAUCAAACCCAAUGAUAGAGUGUACACUGAAGUGGUUUACUCCUCUUUUACUUAGAAUAUAUUUCAGUAAUGCUUUAUAUUACACAUGAUAUUACUGCACGUGUCUCUUACUGUUUCAUGAAUGCAUUGAUCAAUAGUAAAUCUACAGCAAGCCUUACAUG